GAAAUGUGAUAAGUAAUGUGAAUUGCAGAAUCCAGUGAAUCAUCGAAUCUUUGAACGCAUCUUGCGCUCCUUGGCAUUCCGAGGAGCAUGCCUGUUUGAGUGUCAUUAAACUAUCACAACACUUUUCUUGGGUGUUUUGGAUUUUGGGAGUAUUUUGCUGGUCUGUUUGAGCCAGCUCUCCUCAAAAGCAAUUAGCUUUGUAGACUAUCAGUGUGAUAAUAAUAAAAAUUUACGCUGACUUGAGUGUCUCUGCUUCUUUUUAAAAACCCUCCUUUGACCUCAAAUCAGGUAGGACUACCCGCUGAACUUAA
rnacentral:rRNA from 1 species